UAUUCAUCAUUUAUCCUUAAUACAACUCCUUCCAUAAAGUUGUGAGUUAUCAUUAACCUAAAAAUAAUAUAAUUGCUUGUCUGAUACCAUCACUAUUAAGUUUCACAAUUAUUAAUGUGAAUAAGGGUAUGAUUGACUAUUCCAUAGGUCGUUAUACUUUUUCUAUUUUCUCUUUCUCUUUAUCAAAGAGCCCACAAUUCCCCCAGGCUGAACCUUUCAUCCUUCAUCCAUUGAUCACCAAAUCGGCUUAGCCGAGACCAAGUCUGCUUUUUAUAGUAUAAAAACAUAAUGGCACUACGGCAGGCACCAAGAUCACUCGUUUGGUACCCCCAUUGGGGUUGGGGGUAAGCCACCUUCCAAAGAAGAACUUGGGGCUUGGAAGCGCCUCCCUAAAGAGCAAAGUCAAAGAAUCAAUUAUCGCUUUUAAGGGCAUUUUCGCUUAUAUAAAAAGUUAAUUCAAGGUAUAAAGGGAAUAUCGAAACCUAUUGGAAGACUUUGUCCAAAAGAACCCGUUCUACCGUUUCAUUUAGCCCCGCCCAUCUCUGUUUUGUAAAGAUCGUCUAGAUUAAUCAAUAGUCUUCCCCAGGCUAUUAACCACUUACAUAUUAAAUAUUUUCUUUCGUCUUACAAUAAAUAAGAGAUCGGGCAUAGCUUGGUCAUACAUAGAAUUAUCAUUUACAACUAGGGCUAGAGAUGACGUUUAUUGAAGUGCUUGUAGGGAGUCCAACUCAAGAAGCUUGAGCUGAGAAAUUAGAUAAAGGAAAUUAAUAUUUAGUGCUCACUCUUGACAACAGUCUUCUUAUUCAUUGAUGUGCUAACUUACAAAGAAGUACCAAUGGGGGGAGUCUAUAUCAGCUGACCGGAGAAAGGCUAAGCUUACUUUGCCACGACACCUUAGGGGUAUUUCUAUGGCUUCUUAGUCUUCAUGAUUGAAACUCCGUUAAUUAGAAAUGAGUUGAUAAGUAUGAAAAUAGAAUGAUAAGCAAGUUUAUAGCACAUGCAUGGACCAUAUUUUCAUUUCUAAGGAGUUACAAACACUAAAUAACAUCUAGUAAUACAUAAGUUAUAGAAUUGGUUUCUUGAUGUUACUAGGAUGUGGUUCUCCCUUGUUUUCUUCAAACCUAAAGAAUCACAGAAGAAAAAAAAUCAAAGAUUACCAAGAUUCUUACAUGCAAGACGAAUUUGUAAAGUUAGCCACACUUCUUUUGGUAAAUUUGAAAGCUUUGAACUCAAGGAAACUUCAAAAAUUCAUGGAUUCACUUUUCACCUAGAACAUAAUUUUUGUAAAUUAAAAUCAAGGAACUAAACUAAGGAAUUAACUUGAAUUAAGGCCAAAUGUAGAAUCCUCAUACCUUAAUUGAGUGGAAACCACUCUUGCAUGCAAGAAAAUGGAGGAAAAUAAGCUCUUCUCUCUCUAGGACCAAGACACCACACAUUGAGCAAGGAAGAAUAUAGAGUUGUAUUUGUU
rnacentral:lncRNA from 1 species